UACGAAGGGGGCUAGCGUUGCUCGGAAUUACUGGGCGUAAAGCGCACGUAGGCGGCUUUCUAAGUCGGGGGUGAAAUCCUGGAGCUCAACUCCAGAACUGCCUUCGAUACUGGGUAUCUUGAGUUCGGGAGAGGUGAGUGGAAUGCCGAGUGUAGAGGUGAAAUUCGUAGAUAUUCGGCGGAACACCAGUGGCGAAGGCGACUCACUGGCCCGAUACUGACGCUGAUGCGCGAAAGCGUGGGGAGCAAACAGG
rnacentral:rRNA from 1 species